GGGAGGCAGCAGUGAGGAAUAUUGGUCAAUGGACGAGAGUCUGAACCAGCCAAGUAGCGUGAAGGAUGACUGCCUAUGGGUUGUAAACUUCUUUUAUACGGGAAUAAGUGAGGCACGUGUGCCUUUUUGUAUGUACCGUAUGAAUAAGGAUCGGCUAACUCCGUGCCAGCAGCCGCGGUAAUACGGAGGAUCCGAGCGUUAUCCGGAUUUAUUGGGUUUAAAGGGAGCGUAGGCGGACGCUUAAGUCAGUUGUGAAAGUUUGCGGCUCAACCGUAAAAUUGCAGUUGAUACUGGGUGUCUUGAGUACAGUAGAGGCAGGCGGAAUUCGUGGUGUAGCGGUGAAAUGCUUAGAUAUCACGAAGAACUAUGAUUGCGAAGGCAGCUUGCUGGACUGUAACUGACGCUGAUGCUCGAAAGUGUGGGUAU
rnacentral:rRNA from 1 species